rnacentral:lncRNA from 1 species
GCUACACUGUUUGGUACAGGUAUAAAUAUAGCUCGAAGAUUUAAAAAUGAUCAUAACUCCUUUUGAAUAGCAUUAUUGCAACACAAUUUGCAGAUAUGAAAUUCGGGACGGUCUUAAUUUUACUUGUCGUGUGCGUCGCAACAACAUAUUGCUGUACCACCGACGCAGAUUGUGCAGGUACCUUAAACUGUGGCGACGGUCAAGAGGAAUUUUGUCAUGGCAACCACUGUCACUGCAGUCACUUCCAGGUGUGCGCAGACGACAGCGACUGUCACGGUCAUUGUAACACCGGCGGAACACCAACGUGCGAUGCAAACAACCAUUGUCAUUGUAACUAAUAAACGGUUUUGGACACUGAAAUGUUAAAGAGACACUGUGGAUAUAUUCGAAGUAUCAAAUAAUGUUGUUUCUUUUUCUUAAAAAGAAUGUCGAAAACCUUUAACUAUUUCUUUUUUUCAUCUGAUCAUCCCUUAUUUCGAAAGGCAAAUAUUAUAAAUAGUAAAAGAAAUAAACCGAUUAGUGUUUUC